UUUGAAAUCUGGCGGUCUCAGGCCGUCCGAAUUGUAAUCUAGAGAGGUGUUUUCCGUGCCGGACCGCGUACAAGUCCCUUGGAACAGGGCGUCAUAGAGGGUGAGAAUCCCGUCCGUGACGCGGACUACCGGUGCUCUGUGAUACACCUUCAAAGAGUCGAGUUGUUUGGGAAUGCAGCUCAAAAUGGGUGGUAAAUUCCAUCUAAAGCUAAAUACAGGCGAGAGACCGAUAGCGAACAAGUACCGUGAGGGAAAGAUGAAAAGAACUUUGGAAAGAGAGUUAAACAGUACGUGAAAUUGUUGAAAGGGAAACGCUUGAAGUCAGUCGCGUCUGUCGGGACUCAGCCUUGCUUCUGCUUGGUGCACUUCUCGGUAGAUGGGCCAGCAUCAAUUUUGGUUGCCGGAAAAGGGUGGGAGGAAUGUGGCAGCUUGCUGUGUUAUAGCCUCCUAUCGUACACGGUGACUGGGAUUGAGGAC
rnacentral:rRNA from 1 species